UGCUUAGAAAGAAUUGAGAAAAAAUGAUAACUGCUGUAUGUUCAUCUGAAAACAGAAUAUCGAGUCUGUGUCUUUAUAUACAAGCCUAGCAUACAUGCUGCCCAUGUGAAAGGAAAAAAGAAAAGAGGAAAAAUAAAUUACAAUAACUGUGGAACAACUUAUACGACAAGCCACUUAUUUUAAUCCAGCUCAGCAGUCUUCUACAUCCCCCCCUAAAGUUGAAUCAUGUGGAAGUGACACAAGAGACAACUUGGAAACAAAUUGACUAUGGAGCUCAGAG
rnacentral:misc_RNA from 1 species